AUUGAACGCUGGCGGCAGGCCUAACACAUGCAAGUCGAGCGGAUGAAGGGAGCUUGCUCCUGGAUUCAGCGGCGGACGGGUGAGUAAUGCCUAGGAAUCUGCCUGGUAGUGGGGGAUAACGUCCGGAAACGGGCGCUAAUACCGCAUACGUCCUGAGGGAGAAAGUGAGGGAUCUUCGGACCUCACGCUAUCAGAUGAGCCUAGGUCGGAUUGGCUAGUUGGUGGGGUAAAGGCCUACCAAGGCGACGAUCCGUAACUGGUCUGAGAGGAUGAUCAGUCACACUGGAACUGAGACACGGUCCAGACUCCUACGGGAGGCAGCAGUGGGGAAUAUUGGACAAUGGGCGAAAGCCUGAUCCAGCCAUGCCGCGUGUGUGAAGAAGGUCUUCGGAUUGUAAAGCACUUUAAGUUGGGAGGAAGGGCAGUAAGUUAAUACCUUGCUGUUUUGACGUUACCAACAGAAUAAGCACCGGCUAACUUCGUG
rnacentral:rRNA from 1 species